UACCAGCACCCCGAGUGGUCGGGACGAUUAUUGGGCCUAAAGCAUCCGUAGCCGGUUCUACAAGUCUUCCGUUAAAUCCACCUGCUUAACAGAUGGGCUGCGGAGGAUACUAUAGAGCUAGGAGGCGGGAGAGGCAAGCGGUACUUAGUGGGUAGGGGUAAAAUCCGUUGAUCCAUUGAAGACCACCAGUGGCGAAGGCGGGUCUCUGGGCAUCUCCUGACGCUGAGGCGCGAAAGCGUGGGGAGCAAACGGG
rnacentral:rRNA from 1 species